rnacentral:tRNA from 1 species
UGACUGGUAGCUCAGCUAGUAAAGCACGUGCCUGAAGAGUACGAUGUUGGUGGUGCAAAUCCAUCUCAGUCCACCA